CCUACGGGGGGCAGCAGUGAGGAAUAUUGGUCAAUGGACGCAAGUCUGAACCAGCCAUGCCGCGUGAAGGAUGAAGGCGUUUGCGUCGUAAACUUCUUUUAUCUGGGAAGCGGUACCAGAGGAAUAAGCACCGGCUAACUCCGUGCCAGCAGCCGCGGUAAUACGGAGGGUGCAAGCGUUAUCCGGAUUUACUGGGUUUAAAGGGUGUGUAGGCGGGCUUUUAAGUCAGUGGUGAAAUCUCUGGGCUCAACCUGGAAACUGCCAUUGAUACUAUUAGUCUUGAAUAUUGUGGAGGAAGGCGGAAUGUGUCAUGUAGCGGUGAAAUGCAUAGAUAUGACACAGAACACCGAUUGCGAAGGCAGCCUUCUACGCAAUAUUGACGCUGAGGCACGAAAGCGUGGGGAUCAAACAGGAUUAGAUACCCUUGUAGUC
rnacentral:rRNA from 1 species